UACGUAGGGAGCAAGCGUUGUCCGGAUUUAUUGGGCGUAAAGAGCUCGUAGGCGGUUUAGAAAGUCAGGUGUGAAACCUCCAGGCUCAACCUGGAGACGCCACUUGAUACUUCUAUGACUUGAGUUCGGUAGGGGUAAGCGGAAUUCCUGGUGUAGCGGUGAAAUGCGCAGAUAUCAGGAGGAACACCGAUGGCGAAGGCAGGUCUCUGGGCAUUAACUGACGCUGAGGAGCGAAAGCAUGGGGAGCGAACAGG
rnacentral:rRNA from 1 species